GAUGAACGCUGGCGGCGUGCCUAAUACAUGCAAGUCGAGCGAACAGAUAAGGAGCUUGCUCCUUUGACGUUAGCGGCGGACGGGUGAGUAACACGUGGGUAACCUACCUAUAAGACUGGAAUAACUCCGGGAAACCGGGGCUAAUGCCGGAUAACAUUUAGAACCGCAUGGUUCUAAAGUGAAGGAUGGUUUUACUAUCACUUAUAGAUGGACCCGCGCCGUAUUAGCUAGUUGGUAAGGUAACGGCUUACCAAGGCAACUAUACGUAGCCGACCUGAGAGGGUGAUCGGCCACACUGGAACGGAGACACGGUCCAGACUCCUACGGGAGGCAGCAGUAGGGAAUCUUCCGCAAUGGGCGAAAGCCUGACGGAGCAACGCCGCGUGAGUGAUGAAGGUCUUCGGAUCGUAAAACUCUGUUAUUAGGGAAGAACAAAUGUGUAAGUAACUGUGCACGUCUUGACGGUACCUAAUCAGAAAGCCACGGCUAACUACGUG
rnacentral:rRNA from 1 species